AGUUUGAUCCUGGCUCAGAUUGAACGCGCUGGCGGAUGCUUUACACAUGCAAGUCGAACGGCAGCACGGACUUCGGUCUGGUGGCGAGUGGCGAACAGGGUUGAUAAUGUAUCGGAACGUGCCUAGUAGCGGGGGGAUAACUACGCGAAAGCGUAGCUAAUACCGCAUACGCCCUUCGGGGGAAAGCGGGGGGACCUUCCCAAGGCCUCCGCACUAUUGACAGCCGAUAUCGGAUUAGCUAGUUGGUGGGGUAACGGCUCGCAAGCGGCGAUCAUCGCUGGUUCUUGAGAGGGACGACCAGCCACACUGGGACUGAGACACGGCAGACUCCUACGGGAGGCAGCAGUGGGGGUACACGGACAAUGGAGGAAACCCUGAUCCAACCAUCACGUGUGCGAUGAGCCCUUCGGGUUGUAAAGCACUUUUGGCAGGAAAAAAACGGCACGGGAUAAUACCCCGUGCAGCUGACGUACCUGCAGAAUAAGCACCGGCUAACUACGUGCCAGCAACCGCGGUAAUACGUAAGUGCAAGCGUUAAUCGGAAUUACUGGGCGUAAAGCGUGCGCAGACGGUUCGGAAAAGAUGUGAAAUCCCAGAGCUUAACUUUGGAACUGCAUUUUCAACUACCGAGCUAGAGUGUGUCAGAGGAGGUGGAAUUCCGCGUGUAGCAGUGAAAUGCGUAAAUUAUGCACGGAGAGGAACACCGAUGGCGAAGGCAGCCUCCUGGAAAUCAACACUGGCAAGCAUGCACAACGUGGGGAGCGGCAAGUUAGAUACCCUGGUAGUCCACGCCUAAACGAUAAUCCCAGUAGCUGUUGGGGCCUUCAGCGCUUGGUAGCGCAACUAACGCUGAAGUUAAACCGCCUGGAAGUACGGUCACCGAUUAAAACUCAAAGAAUUGACGGGGACCCGCACAAGCGGUGGAUGAUGUGGAUUAAUUCGAUGCAACGCGAAAAACCUUACCUACCCUUGACAUGUCUGGAAUCCCGAAGAGAGAUUUGGGAGUGCUCGCAAGAACCGGGAACACCGAGUGCUGCAUGGCUGUCGUCAGCUCGUGUCGUGAGAUGUUGGGUUAAAGUCCCGCAACGAGCGCAACCAUGUCAUUAGUUGCUACGAAAGGGCACUCUAAUGAGACUGCCGGUGACAAACCGGAGGAAGGUGGGGAUGACGUCAAGUCCUCAUAGGCCCUUAUGGGUAGGGCUUCACACGUCAUACAAUGGUCGGGACAGAGGGUCGCCAACCCGCGAGGAGCCAAUCCCAGAAAGCCGAAAUCGAUCCGGAUCGCAGUCUGCAACUCGACUGCGUGAAGUCGGAAUCGCUAGUAAUCGCGGAUCAGCAUGUCGCAGGUGAAUACGUUCCGGGUCUUGUACCCGCACCGCCCGUCACACCAUGGGUGGGUUUUACCAAGUAGUUAGCCUAACCAUCAGGAGGGCGAUUACCACGGUAGGAUUCAUGACUGGGUGAAGUCGUAACAAGGUAA
rnacentral:rRNA from 1 species